GACGAACGCUGGCGGCGUGCCUAAUACAUGCAAGUCGAACGCAGUGGGGACGGGUGAGUAACACGUGGGUAACCUCCCCUCAGAGGGGAUAACACUUGGAAACAGGUGUUAAACCGCUACCGAUGGAUGGACCCGCGGUGCAUUAGCUAGUUGGUGAGGUAACGGCUCACCAAGGCCACGAUGCGUAGCCGACAUGGAAGGGUGAUCGGCCACACUGGGACUGGGACACGGCCCAGACUCCUCGGGGAGGUAGCAGUAGGGAGGCUUAGGCAAUGAACGAAAGUCUGACCGAGCAACGCCGCGUGGGUGAUGAGGGUUUUCGGAUCGUAAAACUCUGUUGUUAGAGAAGCGGUAUCUAACCAGAAAGCCACGGCUAACUACGUGCCAGCCGCCGCGGUAAUAC
rnacentral:rRNA from 1 species